AAAUGGCAUUUAGUUAAAAAUUUGACAUUCCCGUAGUUCGUGUUUGUUUUUCGCGACCAUAUUUCCUUAAAUUUUGCGUCGAGAAAGCGCUUCAAGUGCUCGGAAAUGAUUGCAAAGGGCAGAUGAACCAUGUUGCAGUGAUUUCAAAUUGAAUUACCUUCGUUUUUUUGCGAAUACGGUGCAAAACUUUGUGUAAUUGUGCAUAGUUGGCGUGACAUACUAAGUCUCCGAAAAUCGACUUGUGCAAAGAGCAGUGAGAAAUACCCUGAUUUCAGAAUGAGUGAAUCUACAAUUUUAGGAGAUGCCCACAAUUCAUCAGCGAAACCCAUUUAUGCCGUUCAUGUAACAGCAGUUCCGCAAGUGGCUUCGGCGAUAGACCCAUUGAGUCAUGUUGGCGAUGGCAUAUUUCUACAAACGAAAACAGCACAGGGUUUGGCAGGUGCUUUCGUCUGGGUAGCUUUAUUCCUCACAUGUCAACAGAUCUAUCAACAUUUGCGAUGGUACACAAACCCCCAAGAGCAGCGAUGGAUAGUUAGAAUACUCUUUAUUGUACCAAUUUAUGCAACAUAUUCUUGGAUCAGUUUACUAUUUUUUAAUUCUGAAAGCGUCUAUGUGUAUUUUUUCACAGUAAGGGAUUGCUAUGAAGCCUUUGUAAUAUACAAUUUUUUAUCUCUCUGUUAUGAAUAUUUGGGUGGUGAGGGGAACAUCAUGUCCGAAAUAAGAGGGAAGCCGAUUAAGUCCUCUUGUUUGUACGGCACUUGCUGUUUGACAGGGAAAACAUACACAAUCGGAUUCUUGCGAUUCUGUAAACAAGCGACUUUGCAAUUCUGCUUGGUCAAGCCGUUAAUGGCGUUCAUCAUUAUAUUCUUACAAGCAUUUGGCCACUACCACGACGGUGACUGGAGCGCUGAUGGUGGAUACAUUUAUAUAACGAUUAUCUACAAUAUUUCGGUUUCGUUGGCUUUAUAUGGUUUAUACUUAUUUUAUUUUGCAACGAAAGACUUAUUGACACCAUUCGAACCUGUUCUGAAAUUCUGCACCAUCAAAUCCGUUAUCUUUUUAUCGUUUUGGCAAGGAGUUGGGCUAGCCAUUCUUGAAAAAGCGAAGGUUAUAUCUCCUAUCAUCGACAGUGACGGGGCUCAAACAUCAGCUGGUACAGUGUCAGCAGGAUAUCAAAACUUUUUCAUUUGUAUUGAAAUGUUGUUUGCCGCUAUUGCUCUCAGAUACGCAUUCCCCUACCAGGUUUAUUCUCGUAGCUGCAUUGGUGAUGCGCAUGGACGCUCUGUUACAAUGCAAUCAAUAUCAAGCAGCCUAAAGGAAACAAUGAAUCCAAAAGACAUCAUGACUGAUGCUAUACAUAACUUCCACCCACAAUAUCAACAGUACACUCAGUAUAGCUCAGGGAAGAAUUCACGAGGAAUACGAGUUUCGUCUUACGACCCAGAUGACCCAGCAUCACAAUCUGUAGCAACAGGGAAAAUAGUUGCUCCGAAAACCCUAGGGAAUCAGAGGAAAUUCACACCUGGUCAACGAGUUGCAACAAUAAGUCAAAAUUACAAUGAAAAAACGAUGCUACUUAGUAGUGACGAUGAGUACCAGUAAAAUGUGUCACCUUAAUUCCGGCCGAGCAGCUAGCAAGGGGUCAUUAAAGAGAAGAUAUGUAUAUGUGUCAAACAGUAUGAACCGCAGAGUAUAAAAACAAAUCCUUCCGUCGCGAGAAAGCUUUGUAAUACUUAAAACAUUUAAUAAUGGGAAGGGUCGAGGGUUAUACUAAUCGUAGUUAAUAAAUUUUAAAAAUAAUGUACUUAAGUCGCAAGAUUACGACUUCACUAUUUAUUUUUCUAAAUUAAUCUUCAGAAGAAAUCACAUACAUAUAUUAUUGUUAACCCUGAUAAUUUAUUGUUUUAAUUAUUUAUUAAAUUUAGUUUAGAUUAAUUCACCUGUCAUAGUUCCAUUCAAGAUUUGUACAAGAUCACGAGACUAUAGCUCUCAUACAUGUAUUAAUUGUUUCUUGCUUUUGCGGAAGAACAUUUUUAAAUUGUUAGAGGAAGAUACUGGACAGUAAUGAAUUCAAUAUUAAAUGACUGUAUUAUUAAA
rnacentral:misc_RNA from 1 species